rnacentral:rRNA from 1 species
AAUAUUGGACAAUGGGGGCAACCCUGAUCCAGCCAUGCCUCGUGUGUUAAGAAGGUCUUCGGAUUGUAAAUCACUUUACUUUGGGAGGAAGGGCUUUCGAAUAAUACCCUGAAGAAUUCACGAUACCAACAGAAUAAGCACUGACUAACUCGCUGCGAUCAGCCGCGGUAAUACAGAGGGUGCAAGCGUUAAUCGGAAUUACUGGGCGUAAAGCGCGCGUAGGUGGUUCAGUAAGAUGGGUGUGAAAUCCCCGGGCUUAACCUGGGAACUGCUUUCAUAACUGCUGAGCUAGAGUACGGUAGAGGGUAGUGGAAUUUCCUGUGUAGCGGUGAAAUGCGUAGAUAUAGGAAGGAACACCAGUGGCGAAGGCGACUACCUGGACUGAUACUGACACUGAGGUGCGAAAGCGUGGGGAGCAAACA